rnacentral:lncRNA from 1 species
UCAUCACUCUUUACCUAGAUUCAAAGAUGAAAGCCACUGAGUUGACUGUCUGGUGAUGGUAAUCUGGUUUUGGAUGGCACAGAAGGUCAAAAUGAAACUGACAGUCACAGGAUGCCAGCUAAAGACAGGGACUGAAGGCAACUUGGUGUUUUAUAGGACAGAAGAACCAAAUUGGCCAACUCAUUUCCUGGAUGCUGGGACAGACAAGAAGGCCAGGGAUGGGAAGGUAAGAGUUUUCUACAAAAGGACAAACAGAAGCAACAAAUGGGAAGGAAAAACACGAGGCUUGUGAAAUCCCAAACCGGACUGGUA